CUGCUCACUUCAGCACCACCUAUCCUAAAAUUGGAACGACACAGAGAUUAGCAUGGCCUCUGCACAAGGAUGACACAAAAAUUCAUGAAGUGUUCUGUAUUUUU
ensembl:snRNA U6 U6 spliceosomal RNA